GCCAGGCAUGGUGGCGCAUGCCCGUAAUCCCAGUAGCUCGGGAGACUAAGGCAGGAGGAUUGCGAGUUCAAAGCCAGCCUCAGCAAUGGAGGGGUGCUGAGCAAUGCAGUGAGACCCUGUCUCUA
rnacentral:sRNA from 1 species